rnacentral:lncRNA from 1 species
GUGGGUGGAGAAUUUGCCAGUAUUGCUAUCAACCAGAUGAAGAAAUAUGGAAGGACUGCAGUCUGUGGAGCCAUCUCUCAGUACAAUGACUCUGUGCCUCAGAAAGGUGUGGGCCUCCUUUUGUGUUUCUUAGUUUCUGUUUGGUGAUGGCAGAGUGCAAAACAUAAUGGCAGACACUCAAGUUUUGCUGAUUUUUCUUUUCUUUUUCCAAUGUGCCAGUUGCCUGUGUGUUUGUGUACAUUUAGAUAACGAACUCUGGGUGAUCUGAUGUGUGUCCACACUUGUUAGAUGUGCAGCAGACAUCCUCCUUAGGACAUGCUCAUAUCAGGUGGAGAAGUUGUGUUUAGAAAUGGAGGCAAGACGAAAUGUGGCUGAAAUGGUAUUUCCCAGGGCUCUGAGCAGAUGCAGAUCAGUAAAACCCCUGAGGUUUUUAGAUGAAAUAGCUUUGUUGAGCUCAUUGAGGAUUAAGCAGAAAGCCCCUCAGUACAGGUUCACUAUACAUGGGAAUGAAAUUGUUUUCAGCAGUGCUGAGUGGGUGUUCAGCCUCAGGUAGAUCAGGUCUUCAUUUUCCUGUGCUGCUUCCUGUCCCCAAACCUGUGGUCAUUUACCCUGCUCAGAAAUAAUAGAAUUCAUCUUGGACUGGAACAACAAAUUUCAGUGUCUUUUACUGGCUAAUACCUCUCUCUAUUGGGCCUUAUUUAAAAAGCAAAACAAAACAAAAGCAACUAUUUCCUUUCUUUGCCAGGGCCUUAUAUUCGGUUUCCAAUGAACUUCAAGGAACUUAGCAUGAAAGGGUUUAUCGUGAGCAGCCGGAGUAACCGCCGGGAGGAAGGUGUGAAUGCACUGCUCAAAUGGGUUCUGGAGGGGCAGGACUGGUGACCUAUCUGAAGAAAGAAUUGCCAGGAAGUGCCAUGGUGUCUGCUGCUCUUCCUUCAUAGGCUCUCCACACUUGGACUUCUCCUUUCCCUCUUUUCCUCAGGUUCUCCAUCCCAGCUCACUGGGUAGUCUGCAAGGCUGCAAAGGUAUUUGUAGUAAUCACUGGAUGUUGGUAUAUCGGUGCCGCAUUUUUCCUCCGUGCUGGUGUUUUGCUUCUCCGUUUUUUCUACGUGCCGAGUUUUGCACUUUGGGGCCGGUGGUGGUGAUGAAGCCGACGGGCACCGGCACUGCGGGCGGGGAGACGAUGCAGUCCACGAACUGAUUGUCUACCCACACGCAGACCCGGAUGGUCCGCAUGGCCGUCCUGCACAGCGGGCAGCUGUCCCUCAGAAUCGCCCACAGCUGGAUGCAGCCCAGGCAGAAUGUGUGAUUACAUGGAAUUACAUGGGUCAUGUCCUGUCGCACACUGCGACACAUGGAACAUGUCCACUCCUCUUCUGCAGACACGUUCCUCUCGCUGCAGCUGUCCUGGAGAACUGAGGAUGACGAGCUCUUAUUCUUCACCAGAGCUGCAGCGGUGGUGUCUCACUCUGCAAGAGAAAGAGAGGCCACAGUCACUGUUGUCCCAGGGUGUGAAAGUCCUCAGCAGGAAGCCCUGCCAAGCCCAAGACUGCCCUGAGGGACCCACAUGUCCCUGCACCACUCACCUCCUCUGCUGCGGGUGCACUCAGUAGAGUCCCAGCUGCCUGCACUGGGCAGGGCCGGGGAAACAGAAGUGAUGCUGUGGGUCAGGCACUGAGAUGCUGCGAGCAGCCACAGGCACGACCCAACACAGCACAGCCAAAACCUUGCUCGAGGAACCUCCAAGCCUCGCAGAGCUGCUCAGCAGGGUCCAGGAACGAGCCAGACUGAGCCAGGCUCUGCCGGCACCCCACUAUGAGCAGUGAGGGCUGAGCAGUCACAAUCCAUCACCCGGUGAUGUCACAGCCUGUUGCUCGGGGACGUCACCAUGGGCUGUCCGCCCCCACAGCACCCCAGUUUCAAGAUGUUAUUUUCUUUUCUUGUUCCUAAUUUGCUGUACCUUCCUUUUCAUUCCAGUCAAUGUUUUAUGCCUUACAUUUGACACUAAUACACAGAACUUUUAUUUUAUUUGAUUAAAUCAACUCCAAUUAUAUAUUUCCUCUGUUUCUUCACCAAUAAACUAUAGAUUUUUCACUAGUUUGUUACGCA